rnacentral:rRNA from 1 species
GAUGAACGCUGGCGGCGUGCCUAAUACAUGCAAGUCGAGCGAACAGACGAGGAUCUUGCUCCUCUGACGUUAGCGGCGGACGGGUGAGUAACACGUGGAUAACCUACCUAUAAGACUGGGAUAACUUCGGGAAACCGGAGCUAAUACCGGAUAAUAUAUUGAACCGCAUGGUUCAAUAGUGAAAGACGGUUUUGCUGUCACUUAUAGAUGGAUCCGCGCCGCAUUAGCUAGUUGGUAAGGUAACGGCUUACCAAGGCGACGAUGCGUAGCCGACCUGAGAGGGUGAUCGGCCACACUGGAACUGAGACACGGUCCAGACUCCUACGGGAGGCAGCAGUAGGGAAUCUUCCGCAAUGGGCGAAAGCCUGACGGAGCAACGCCGCGUGAGUGAUGAAGGUCUUCGGAUCGUAAAACUCUGUUAUUAGGGAAGAACAAAUGUGUAAGUAACUAUGCACGUCUUGACGGUACCUAAUCAGAAAGCCACGGCUAACUACGUG